CCUCAAAUUUCUUAUAAUUCGUUUUAUUUUACCAUUAUUUUAUAUAUAUAACGUACACCUCGAUUAUUUUUUUUACAUAUUUUGUAAACUAAUUGACCAAAAUAUUUUAUAGGAGUAAUAAAUAAUUCUCUACGAAUUAAUAACUCAAUUCAAAAUUUCUUAGAUCUGUCCAAAUUUAAAUGGUUUAUCUAGUACUCAUAAUAGGAAAAAGAUAGAUUUGCAGUCCUUUGUCUUACCAUUUGGCCAUAACUCCAAAAUGCUAUAAAUACAAAAUAGAUUGAAAACUUCCCACAUUCUAGGUUUUGGUAUACCAUGUGCUACCUAUAUUCGACCACGUUCUGUCCAUAUUUAUUGUUAAUAAAAAUAAUGCAACUAUCAAGGAAAAACAAAUUGAUGAUUUUAUAUAUAUUUUAUUUACUUGGGGAGAUGAGAUGGGUAUAAGUUAAAAUGUUCAAUCGAUUCUUUGACAGCUGUCACCCAGAUUUAUAAUGAUAAAAUAUCUAGAAGUGUUGGGUUAAUAAUGAUAAAAUAAUGUUCCAAAAGUAUUUAGGUAUAAUUUUCAAAAAAUACUAUCUGACACCAUAUUUGAAAAUACUAUAACCAUGAGUCAGGUUCCGGGUCCCGGAUCAAGUCAGUAGUAGGAUUCGGAACCCCAAAGUGUUGCUUUUUUUCUGGAAAUGAUGGGUUUACAUAAUAUAUAUAUAUAUGUAUAUGUAAGAUGAGCAUUACUAGAAUAAUUUAAUCAAGUUCUUCUGGGUCUGCUAUAACUUUAAUUCUUAUAACACAAGUAGCGUAAUACUAUAGAUAUGACUUAUGAGAACU